GACCUGCGGAAGGAUCGUUA
rnacentral:rRNA from 1 species